rnacentral:rRNA from 1 species
UACGAAGGGGGCUAGCGUUGCUCGGAAUCACUGGGCGUAAAGGGUGCGUAGGCGGGUCUUUAAGUCAGAGGUGAAAUCCUGGAGCUCAACUCCAGAACUGCCUUUGAUACUGAGGAUCUUGAGUACGGGAGAGGUGAGUGGAACUGCGAGUGUAGAGGUGAAAUUCGUAGAUAUUCGGAAGAACACCAGUGGCGAAGGCGACUUACUGGACGAUUGUUGACGCUGAGGCACGAAAGCGUGGGGAGCAAACAGG